rnacentral:rRNA from 1 species
AACGAACGCUGGCGGCAUGCCUAACACAUGCAAGUCGAACGAGACCUUCGGGUCUAGUGGCGCACGGGUGCGUAACGCGUGGGAAUCUGCCCUUUGCUUCGGAAUAACAGUUAGAAAUGACUGCUAAUACCGGAUGAUGUCGAAAGACCAAAGAUUUAUCGGCAAAGGAUGAGCCCGCGUAGGAUUAGGUAGUUGGUGGGGUAAAGGCCUACCAAGCCGACGAUCCUUAGCUGGUCUGAGAGGAUGAUCAGCCACACUGGGACUGAGACACGGCCCAGACUCCUACGAGAGGCAGCAGUGGGGAAUAUUGGACAAUGGGCGAAAGCCUGAUCCAGCAAUGCCGCGUGAGUGAUGAAGGCCUUAGGGUUGUAAGGCUCUUUUACCAGGGAUGAUAAUGACAGUACCUGGAGAAUAAGCUCCGGCUAACUCCGUGCCAGCAGCCGCCGUAAAAC